GUUCCUGCUUCAGACUGCAGAUAAAGCCACAAUGUAAGGUUCCAGAUGGCCACACUUAUUUGGAGACACCAUUUAACACAAUUCUACUUCUACUUCCAUGAGUACCUGGUGAAGAAGACACAGCCAGAGCUUUGAUCAAAGAUUCCAAAUGCAAAUAUAACUAACCAUCCAACUGGUCCCAUCAGCCAAUGUAUCUCUUUGUUACCUCAAGGGAGAUUGAUUUAUGUUUUCAUCAAUAAAUCUUCAUAUUUUCAA
rnacentral:lncRNA from 1 species